AUCGCUUCUUGGCCUUUUGGCCAAGAUCAAGUGUAGCAACAGAGAAUGUUGUCAGUAAAUCGGAGUGAAAUUUUUCUUGGAUUAUGUCCAUGUUAGGAGGAAUUCUGGUGUCUGUGCUGUACCUUGGCAUGCUAAUGUGCUAGAAGAGCCAACAAAAUUUCCAUGUCAUUUUCUUUCAUUCAUUCAUU